UACGUAGGGAGCAAGCGUUGUCCGGAAUCAUUGGGCGUAAAGCGCGCGUAGGUGGCCUCAUAAGUCCGCUGUGAAAGUCAAGGGCUCAACCCUUGGAUGCCGGUGGAUACUGCAGGGCUAGAGUCCGGAAGAGGCGAGUGGAAUUCCUGGUGUAGCGGUGAAAUGCGCAGAUAUCAGGAGGAACACCGAUGGCGAAGGCAGCUCGCUGGGACGGUACUGACGCUGAGGCGCGAAAGCGUGGGGAGCAAACAGG
rnacentral:rRNA from 1 species